rnacentral:lncRNA from 1 species
AUGAUUUUGAAUUCCGGAAUUACUUACAUUAACAAAAUAUGAUAGAAAUAGACAUUUGCUUUAGAAUGAGCUAAAUACUGAAUUUUUAUAUACACACCCAAGAACUUGCCAGUCAAGAUGAAAAACUUCUUCUAAUGGAAUCCAGCUUGAAAGCAACUCAAGAGCAGCUAAGUGAGCAAACAGCAGAAACAGUUCACCAAGAACAGAACAGUAGAAAAUCACAGACAGAGCUGAAAGAAGAUCCUGAGAGAACGUAUUAUAGCUUCUGAUGAAGAAAUUAGUGAUUACAAAUACAUCUCAGUGUGCACUGUAUGGAGACACCAAAGCAGAAAUACUCGCAUAGAUGACAGAAUGUUCAUCUUGUUUGCAGUUGUCUAAACUCUUACAGAAAAAAUCCUGAUUUCUCUUAAAAAAACAGAAAACUGUGUGGAGAACUUUAAGGUCUGAAAAAUGUGAGUAAUGCCUCCAGAAAAGCUUAAAUGGGAAUCACGCCAAGAAUGUGGGACCAGGAAAGUCAAAUUGUCAGACUGAGACAAAACUUUGUGGAAAUGGAAGAAGAAGUAAAGAACUUAAGACUUACACACAGCAAUGAUGCUCAGAUGAUUGAUAAGAAUCUGAAUACUCUGAGAAAUGAGAUGAACUUGUAUGAAGACACAUAGGAUGGUAGUCAAAUGAGCUGAAGUUUAAAUAUGAACAACACAAUGCAACACUGAGGCCUGCAUGACUGUAAGAAUGUUAGGAUAGAAAAUUGUCUUUGGUAGCAGCAAAGAUUAAAAAAAUAGUAUCACUUAAAUAAAUACAUGUGAAGAAGCCAAAUUUGUAACAAAAAGGAAACCAGUAAAUGAAUUCACAAAAGCCAGCUACUACAUAGCAAAUCUCUGUAUAAAUGGGCUGAGAGUAUGUACCAAGAAGAAGGCAAGUAUCUAUUCUUUUUCAAUGGGAAAAACAAAAAACAAAAAACAAACAAACAAAAAAGCUAUUUCAUCCUUACUUUGGGAAAAAGGCACACAAAACCAAAGCAAAAAAUGCCUCACUGACUGCAUCUGUCCAUUCUGUACUGUAAUUUGUUUCCCGCUAUGAAGAUUUAGGUUAAAUUCAUUUCUAUUAUUAAAGACAAAUAAGCUGCAAAAGAACUAAUUCUCUGUCUCCAUCUUUUACAUGUAUAUUUAUUCAUAUGAAUGCACUUUUGUUCAUUUAUUUUUACUUCUACCUUGACAAAGCUGUGCAAAAAAUAACAUAGUUUGAUUACUCAUAAUUUGCAUUUGUGUAAUUAAUAGGGAUGAAAAGGAUUAAAAUCAAUGGAGAAAUAUUUAUUUGUUUAAAUUGGAUAACUAUGGAAAAACUAUUUGGCAGGAAUGAAAGCUUUUCCAUCUAAAUUACGUCAUAUAAUUUAAACUGUUUUAGUUUUUAAGCUUAAAAAGCAUGAAAAUCACAAAGCAGAACUGGAAGAAGACACAGAAAAAUACUGCCAUGUAAAGGAAGAGCCUUCAGAACAAGGGUCUCAGCUCAAAAUUAGCUAGCUGGUCCAUUCUGGAGUGGGAAAACUGAUAAAAUGCCGCAGUACUCAGGUAAUACCCUUGAUACAAUAUGUGGAAGGGAGACAGUGUUUGAAGUAAUAUCAGUGAAUGUAUCAGAGUACUCUCAGAGAAUUUUUCCAACGGAUAAGGAAAUAUUAUUUAAAUAAUACUAACUGUAAAAUUCACUCAUGAGUGAUUGAGAAAACAUGAGAAAUAUUGUUGAAAAUAUCAAGUCAAUAUAACAGCAGCAUUUCUUCUUUUAAAAGUGUUGUGGGUGGGAUUCACCUUGUUGAACUGGAGGUAGGAAUAUUUGAAAUAGAUGUCUAAGUUCCAUUGCUGUCAUUGGAGACUUAAUCAACUCAGUGAGUGAAAUCAAGGGCUAUCAAUACCUUUCAUUACCCAAAGUGAACCUACAGAAAAGCUGGAGAGUGACUCUUUAUCAGGUAGCAUAGUCAUAGGACAAGGGAUAGUUGCCUUCAACUAAACUAGAUUAGAUAUUAGAAAGAAAUUCUUCACUAUGAGGACAGUGAGAUACUGAAAUAAAUUGUCCAUAGAAACUGUGGAUGCUCCAUCUCUGGGAGCAUUCAAACGUAGGUUGAGUGAAGCCCUUGGCAACUUGAUCUCAUGGAAGGUGACUGUGCUAUGGCAGGGAAUUAGAACUAGAUGAAUUUAAGUUCUCUUCCAAACCAUUUUAUGAUUCUAUGACUAAAUAUUGAUCCAAUCAAUAUUAAGGUUUUCAGAGGAGCUGAAAAUCAAUCCCAGUGACAAUAUUAUUCAUUGUGAUAGAACACAUUCACACACCGUAAUGCAGACAUCCAAAUUUGGGUAAGAAUAAUCAGAUUAGAAAAGUUAGCCUUUUUGCAGCAAUUCAUUAUAUAAUACGGAAUUAUUUUAUUUAUUUUUGUUACUAAUAAGAGUACUAGAUGUUUCACAAGCAUAGAUACUGGUCAAUUAUCUGAGCAAUAUCCAAUAUAUAAAUACACAAAGUUAGAAGGAAAUGAUCAAUGCCAGAGAGAAAUAAAAGUUAAAAUAAUACAUGCUUUUUCUUCUGUGUCUGAGAGAAUGUGAGUAGAUGUGAAAGUUGGAAAACCAAAAGAAUUAGUAGUAUGACAACAUUCCUUUUCUACCCUAGCAUUGUCAAAAGAUAACAAGAUUAAUUCUCUGCUGUAGUAUUUCACUACAGUAGUGUGUUAAUUUGAGGGGCUUGGCUGAGCCUUAUUCAGCAUAUAAUUAGAAUUUACUGAACUUUAAUUUCUUAUCAUCUUUAGGCUGCAUUAUCAAAGUGUUUAUAUUGAAACAUUCAAAUGUUCAGUUAAAAAUAAACUUCAGUUUGUCAAGGAUACAUUGUAUACAAAUUCUGUGGAAAUAUUUGAAUAAAAUUGUUCACUUUUGCUUUGUGAGAAAUGCUUUGCACUUUACAUAUUUAUAACAUAAUGUCAUUAGAGUAUGUAUCUUAGAAAUAUAGCAAUUUCCUGGUGAAUUUAUUGAAUAAAUGCUUAUCUAAUAAGUAAUUUGAGAGUAGAGAAAGAUCUAAUGAAAAGCUAAAUACACAGUGAAAUCCUAAUCAAGCAAUUGAAAUAGUUACUCAUGAUAAAACUAAGAUUAUCAGAGUAUCAGAACACAAAUUACUCCAUUAAUCUUUUGAAUUAGUCAGUUCUUAUUUUCUGAAGCUAAGUAACUUGAGAAGGUACACUCAAGGUUUCAUCUUUCUGAAGACUGUAUUUAUUACCUUUACUUUCAUAAAGAGUUCAUUAGAAAGAAUAUUACAGUGAAAUACGUUAACUUUUUAGCCUGUUUUAAUGAAGUCAUGUGAGUCUUUAAUUAUCUGACAUAAAACUGCUUAGUUUUACGUAGUAUCUACAGAUACUAAUUAGUAUCUACAUAUAUACAUUAGUAUCUACAUCAAUUAGUAUCUACAGAUAUUAACGGAUUCAUAUGUCAUAAAGCCAGAAGAAACGCUGUUAUUGAAUCUUAUAUGUGGCACAAUGCAGGCCACAGGACUUCACUGAAUUGAGUAGUUGUAAGAGAUUAUUCUUUUAUAUGAUUGACUCAAAGUUUGCUGAGGAACAAGUCCAGGCAAGUCCUGGGCAAAGGUACAGAAAUCUUCUGUCUGGAGGACACUGAUGGACAGGUCCUGGCUAAAGGAUUGUGAAGUCCUUUAAGGAGCACAGAUGGACGAGGCCAGGGGCAACGAGAGAGGGAUAAGCUGCUGAUAAUGGCUGAGAAAUGGUCUUUUGUGUGGACUUAUCUAGAAGAAGAUGGCCAUCUCAGGAGCUACGCACAUGACUCUUGCUCAAGCACCCAGGGAUGUCACGUAGGCAGGAAAAAGAGGAGGAUAAAAGAGGGUCUAACAACCAUGAGGAGAGGGUUUCUGCCAUCAGAUCCCUCACCACGACGGACUCAAGGUUUCUGCCAUCAGAUCCUUCACUACGGACCAUAUGCUGAUGGACUUCCCUGGGCCUGCUACCUGAGACCUGCUGCUUCCUCCCAGACUUACUCUGCGGCUUCUUCCUGGACCCACCCGGUACCUGCACCCUCUCGUUGCCCAAGACCGGCCUCGCUGCUCCUGCCCUUCAGCCUCGGACCAUCAGAACAUCGUGCAACAGGACUACUGCUGGUGGUGACUAUCCCCGCUUUAUGCAAUUCUUGCUUCUUUCUAUCUUUUCUAUCGCUCGCCUUCCCUUUCCCAUCACCCCAAUCCAUAAUAGUGUCCGUCCUCCCCUUUCUUCAUCUCCCUUAUUAACAUAUGUAAUAAACUGGUCGGACCAACAUUUGAACCGUUGUUUCUUAAUCUCACGCCGGGCAUACAUAUUUCAAAGAACCUCCUCUCCCUCCUAUAAAUUGGAGUGAGACAGUAGUACAUUAUGUCUAAGUAAAUGUGAUUAAAAUGGAGUAUAUUAAAAUGGAGCAUACAUUUUUAAUACAUUCUUGACUUUAAAUAUACACAAUGUUAGAGAAUUCAUUACGGUCUUUCACAGGUUGCCUCAAUAGUUAGUAAAACAUAUAGCAUGCUGACUGUUCAUCAUUUUAUCAUCUUUCUUGGAAUGUUAUACAAAUCUCAACAUAUAUAAAAAUAGUUUUUAUGUCAUCUUUAUCAAUAACAUUUGAAAUAUCAUAAAACUGAAAGAGCAGAUAGUUUUACAAGAUGUGUUUACAGUAAAUCCACAGUAACUUUGGUUAUUAUAUUAAUGCACAUUUGUUAUAUGUAUCUACAGCUAACACAAAUUACUGUGGAAUUAUGAUAUUAGCUGUCCUGAUAUUUUGCUUGAAAGAGAUAACUACCCUCCUUGAAUUACUUGAAUCACCCUCUUAAAACCUAAGAAAUAUUAGCACAGAAUUAACAGAUAAAUUAACCUGUACUGUUUUGGAAGUUUUUAAGGUUGUCAAGACCAAACACUGUAAAUAUGGCCUAGAAAUUCUUUUCAAAAGCACUUCAAAAGCACUUAGAUAUGUUUUACGUAGACAAUUUGAAAUAUAUUUAUACUUAUGUGAUUGCAGUCACUUUUAUCCUAAGACUAAAAUACCAUACAUUCUUCAGUUAUAAUAGAAUAUUUCACAUGAAGGGUUCUACAGAGAUCAUCAAGUCCAACUGCCUGACAACUUCAGAGGUAACCACAAGUUAAGCGUAUUACUGAGGGCAUUAUCCAAAUGCAUCUCAAGUAAUAUUAGGCAUAGGACAUCAGUCAUCUCAUUGCAGUGAGAUAAAAGCCUGUUCCACUGUUUGAUGAUAAAUAAAUGUCCAGUAUAGUCUGAAACUCCCCUGGCACAGCACAGCUGUGUGCCACUCCUGUGCAACCUGCAAUCAGCACAGAAGAUACCAGGGAGCAGAGACCAGCACCUCCCUCUGUACUUCCUCUCCUCAAGGAGCUGCAGAGAGCAGUAAAGUCAUCUUGUAGACUCCUAUUCUCCAGGCUAGACAGUCCAAGAGUCCUCACCCUUUCCUUACUAGACAUGUCUUCCAUUCUGAUUACCUGCUUUGUUGCCAUUGUCUGGACACUUUUAGAUAUCUUAAUAAUGUUUUUAUGUUGUGGGGCAUACAUUAUUCAAGGUGAGGUUGCACCAACUCCAAAUAUAUCAGGACAAUCACCCCAAAAAGCAGUUUGCCCUUUUGGCAACCAACACUGCUGGUUCAUACUGAGCCUGCUAUCAUCAGCCCUCCUAGAUCAAUUUGUUCUGAGCUGCUCUCCAGCCAUUCAUCUCUCAGUUUGUGUCAUCUCUCAGGUACUGUGCCAGGCAUAGUACCUGACAUUUACCUUUGUUGAACUUCACGCCAUUGUUUCCCCAGUGCUCCAAUCCAUCCACAUUGCUCUACAAGACCUCAGCAACACAACUGACCAUCUACUAGCCAAAUGGGUCUCCAUCACUACAACACUUUGAGUUCUACCAUUGAGCCAGUUUAUCACCCUGCAUAGUGUGAACAUACUUAUCUCACAGUUGGACAAUUUGUACAGAAAGUUGCCAUGAAGGAUCAUAUCAAAGGCUUUACUGAAUUCUAGAAAGAUGACGUACACUGCCUUCCUUCAUCCACCAAGUGGGUAAUCUUAUAAAAAGAAAUCAAAGCAAUGAAGACAGGGCUUUCCCUUCAUGAACCCAUAUUGACUAUGCCUGACAAUGGCUUUGUCCUUCAAGUGCCUUUCAGUAACACUCACUAUAAUCUUCUCCAUAAAUUUUUAGGGUACUGAGUUAGGUUAACAAGUCUGUUACAGAUUUGUUACUUUUGUUACUUUGUUUUCAGUAAGUUCUUUCUCUUUAUUUUUUGUUUGUUUGUUUAUUUUACUUUGUUUUGGGAAGAGGAGAGCUUGUGGUGGGGAGUGGGGUUUUGUCAUCUACGUAGUGCUAUUGAAGAUAAUACUACUUUUUUAUAUUUAAACAUUUGAUCCUCAGAAAGUUUCAUCCUAUUCUUUCAUGUUUACGAGAUUUUUCUCUCUUCAAACACUUUUUUUCUUUGUAUGAACAUUUGCAAAUGAGUGUGUACAUGCAUAUCAAUGACCAUGAGUACAUGGGGCUUAUCUGUUCCUCAAAAAUAUGACUUGGUCAAAAUUACUUUUGCAUAAAGAACAACUGAAUUUCAGCAACGUAAUCCUUUCCUACUCAUAAGUCUUAAAUUAAUGUGCAAAAUUGAAUUAAUCAGCAUAUUUAAUUACAAUUUUUUUGUUAAACUUAUUUAUCUGUGAAGGUGUUAUGUAUAAUUUUUGAAAGUUAAUGGAUACAUUAUUAAGCAAAGAGUAACAGCUCCAACAAACCAGAAUUAUUUAAGUCUCUGAGGAAAACUAAGAUUUCCCUUCUGAUUCAUCUUUAAAAUCCUGUUUUCAACAUCUUUGCAAAGUUAAUUUUAGUUUUUUAAAAGCCAGGUAACUUAAAAUAAUUUUUCUGCCCUUCAUUCCUCUUUUGUUUAUCGUGUUUUUCAGAAUGUUGUUCCAUUAGUGACUUUGAAGUCAGUGAUGUUAGAUCAAAUUAUUCAAAUUACUAGCUUUUGUUGUUGCUGGUGCUGUUUUGUGGGGUUUUUUUCUUUUGUUUUGUUUUGUUUUGAUUUUCCUCUUAUGAAUGUAAUUUACUGGUGUAGUGGUUAUUAGAACAGAACUUCACAGUGUUUGUGUUUUGUCUUAAUUAUAAGUAAUUUUAUAUCACUAAUAUUAUCAGUAAACUUGUUUGUGUAUAUUUUACUCAAUGAAAUGUUAAUGCCAAACUUUGAACAGAAACUGUACUGACUACUUCUAUCUUAAAACAGACAGUACCAGUAGCUGAUUGUUUUACUUUUGUUUCCUUUCAUCAAACAACUCUAUUCAGAAGGUGAAAAUUUCCUUUUCUUCUUUUUGAUGGAAUUUCUUUUCAUUUCUCCCCUUUCUUUUCAUAGUUUUACAAACGGGCAGUUACACAGUUUAUUACAAAAUAUGUUGAGGCACAUGCCUAGAAGGUGUGUUGAAUGGCAUACUCCAUCUACUUGUGGCAUCUAUGCAUAUUAAGUUGUUAAAAGCAUGUUUGUCAAACUUAUAUGACAGUUUUAGCAAUUGUAAAAACGCAUAUUUGCUAUGCUAUGCUAGAAGAAGAGGAAGAAAAAGAAGAAGAGAAGUGAAAAAAGAGAGGAGAGAAGAGGAGAGGAGAGGAG